AGUGUGACGUAUUUAGGUUCUUUGGGGUUUCUUCCAUCUCAUCCCACCCACUCAUUUUUGUUCCUUGUUUUGUUCAGACACUUCCCCAGCCUGGGUCCAACUGCUGAGCUGGAUAGUUUUCUCUGCAGCUUCCUGCUGAAGAUUUAACUCAGCCAUGGCCUUCUCCACACCUCCCUGAUGGGUGUCUCUCUACCUGGGUUGUAAUUAGAACUGGGAUCUAUUUAAUUUCUCCAGCCAUUUCCCAACCCUUCCCACAGUACUAGAAAUCUUAGUCCUAUACCAGAGUAAGAGGUGUGUACAAGCCCCCACUGUACUGUAUGCACGGAUCGCUUGGCCAAUAAUUAUGUCAGUGAAUCUGAGACUUGUAUUAAACACUUUAGACAUUUGUAGAAGGGAAUUCGUAGACUUUUCACUUACAUACGAAAGGUUUUUUUUUUUUUUUGUGCAGUUCUCAUUGCAAAAAUAAACAUUUGUACUGAGUAUAAAGUUA
rnacentral:lncRNA from 1 species